rnacentral:rRNA from 1 species
AUUGAACGCUGGCGGCAGGCCUAACACAUGCAAGUCGAACGAGUGGCGGACGGGUGAGUAAUGUCUGGGAAACUGCCCGAUGGAGGGGGAUAACUACUGGAAACGGUAGCUAAUACCGCAUACCAUCGGAUGUGCCCAUAUGGGAUUAGCUAGUAGGUGUGGUAACGGCUCCCCUAGGCGACGAUCCCUAGCUGGUCUGAGAGGAUGACCAGCCACAUGGGAAAGGAGAAACGGUCCAGACUCCUACGGGAGGCAGCAGGGGGGAAUAUUGCACAAUGGGCGCAAGCCUGAUGGAGCAAUGCCGCGUGUAUGAAGAAGGCCUUCGGGUUGUAAAGUACUUUUAGCGAGGAGGCGUUACUCGCAGAAGAAGCACCGGCUAACUCCGUGCCAGCCGCCGCGGUAAUAC